rnacentral:lncRNA from 1 species
GCGAUUCUCCUGCCUCAGCCUCCUGGGUAGCUGGGAUUACAGGCGUAAGCCACCGCGCCGGGCUCUUUCAUUCUGUCUUUAUUUUCUGAGAUAGAGUCUCGCUCGGACGCUCAGGUUGGACUGCAACGGCGUGAUCUCGGCUCGCUGAAACUUCCGCCUCCCGGGUUCAAGCGAUUCUCCUGUCUCAGCCUCCCGAGUAGCUGGGAUUAUUGACGGGCAGCACCACGCCCGGCUACUUUUUGUGGUUUUUGUAUCUUCUGUCUUCUGCUCUUUACUACCGCAUAGAGCCGCA